rnacentral:misc_RNA from 1 species
UGGUGUUGAAAUCAUGAAAUUAAGGAGGUACGUGCCAGAAGAGACUCUAUAUAUACAGCCUCCUUACUAUUCAAAUCAUAUCUCUCAUAUACACAAUUCAAUCUUCUUCUUCACAAAAAAAUCAUGAAUUUUCUGUCAUCGUUGGCUAAGAGCGCCGGAGCCGGCGACGAUUCCCAAAAAGCCGGCGAGGAAUCAGGUUCGACAACAGAGCUUUUCGCCAGUGCUAAAGUGUUAGCAGAUGCUGCUCAGAGUCAAUUCAACAAAGAUUCCGAAAAAAUCGAUAACAAAAAAGUGGCUGAAGCAGCAGCCGAUGUGCUCGACGCUGCACAGAAAUACGGAAAAUUAGACGAAACUCAAGGAAUUGGACAGUACGUUGAGAAGGCCCAAACUUAUCUCCACCAGUACGGUGGCGAUAAGGCUCCGGCCGCCGCACCGGUUGCUGAAGAAGCAAAAGCACCAGCGCCUGCAUCGGAAUCGGAUCCGGCGCCGGAGCCGGUUGUUGAAGGAGAUAAGGAGGAGGAAAAAAAGAGUGAAGGAGCUGAUUAUCUUAAGAUGGCUGGUGAUUUCUUAAGCAAGAAGUAAUUAGAGUUUAAUUAACUUUUUUUAAAAUUAUGGCUGAUGUUAUAUUUCAGUUUUUUUUUUCUUAAUUUGCCACUGUUCACUGCCGGCGCCGGCGCCGGAGUUGGGUUUAUGUAAUAUGUAUGUAAGUUGUGUGUAUUUCAGUGAAAUUUGUGUUUGUUUGAAUUUAUUAGUGUUAUCUUCGUUGCUUCUAGGAAAUAAGUCAAGAACAAAGAUUAAUCUUAUUUUUGAGAGAUAAAUAUCUCAUAUAUAUUAUGCG